rnacentral:tRNA from 1 species
UAGAAUGUAGCUAAAAGAAAAGCAUCUCCCUUACUCAGAGAAGACAUUCGUGCAAACCGAGUCAUUCUAA